UACGAAGGGGGCUAGCGUUGCUCGGAAUCACUGGGCGUAAAGCGCACGUAGGCGGAUUGCUAAGUCAGGGGUGAAAUCCUGGAGCUCAACUCCAGAACUGCCUUUGAUACUGAGGAUCUUGAGUCCGGGAGAGGUGAGUGGAACUGCGAUUGUAGAGGUGAAAUUCGUAGAUAUUCGCAAGAACACCAGUGGCGAAGGCGGCUCACUGGCCCGGUACUGACGCUGAGGCACGAAAGCGUGGGGAGCAAACAGG
rnacentral:rRNA from 1 species